rnacentral:tRNA from 1 species
CGGGCCAUCGUAUAGUGGCAGUACAUACGCAUGGGGUGCGUAUAGCGGCAGUUCGAUUCUGCCUGGCCCGACCA